GCCCCUAUAGCUUAAUCCAAAGCAUAGCACUGAAGAUGCUAAGAUGGUAUCUUUACUACCUGAGGGCA
rnacentral:tRNA from 1 species